UACGUAGGGUGCAAGCGUUGUCCGGAAUUAUUGGGCGUAAAGAGCUCGUAGGCGGUUUGUCACGUCUGCUGUGAAAACUCGGGGCUUAACUCCGGGCCUGCAGUGGGUACGGGCAGACUAGAGUGCGGUAGGGGAGUCUGGAAUUCCUGGUGUAGCGGUGAAAUGCGCAGAUAUCAGGAGGAACACCGGUGGCGAAGGCGGGUCUCUGGGCCGUAACUGACGCUGAGGAGCGAAAGCGUGGGGAGCAAACAGG
rnacentral:rRNA from 1 species